rnacentral:lncRNA from 1 species
UAAUUUUAAUAUUUCUGUAGAUAAAGUUUCUAAGAUGUCAGCAUCUGCAUUUACAAUGUUUUCUCUCCUCUUUCUUUUAGGUAAGUGGCCAUCUUAUGCUUGGAUACAUCAACUUCAGAACGGAUGGAUGUGUAAGGCUCCAUCCCUUGUCUCUGAUGCUGUGGUUAUUCACGAUGUGCCCAGUGACCCUGCUGAUGAAUAUUUUAGACAUCUGCAUGAAUAAUCAGACUGCCCACAGGAGAGCCACUUGCUUGUUUGUGAGGCUGGAAAUGCUAGCUGGAUGAUGCUGACUCGAGUUCUGUGUACCAACGUGAAAAUAAUAAAUACCUAAGUAAAUUCUUAAUUGGGAUUGUCUUUGAGCAUCCACGGGUGCUCUGAAACUGGUUGCCAGAUUUUACACAUAGGGAGAUGUGUGUGCUGGUGUUUUGGAGAAAACUAGAGGUUUUACCAGACUCUCCAAAGAAACUGUGACCCCAUAAAGACUAAGAAGCACUGGAUGCUGCUUUAUAGUCUUCAGAGUGCUUCUACAUACAUUUUUAUUUGACCCUCCCAAUAGUUCUGAGGGAGACAUGGCAGGGAUUCUCUCUCCCUGCCCACUUCCUUCUCCCUCCCUUUUUUUUUUAAAAAAGAGCAUGACUCUGAGCUGAAAUGAUUUUCAGUUUCAUCCGUGUAGGCACAGGGAGCCACUGAAGGGUUUUUUUUUUUAUUCAUACCAGAUAAAUUAGAUUUUAUUAAAAAAAUUUUAUUGGAGUUCAAUUUAACAGCAUAUAGAAUAUCACCCAGUGCUCAUCCCGCCAAGUGCCCCCCUCAGUGCCCAUCACCCAGUCACCCCAGCCCCCUGCCCACCUCCCCUUCCACUACCCCUUAUUCAUUUCCCAGAUUAGGGGACUCUCAUGUUUUGUCACCCUCACUGAUAUUUUCACUCAUUUUCUCUCGUUUCUCUAUAUUCCCUUUCACCACUGAAGGUUUUGACUCAUAAAGUGAGCUGAUCAGAUUGUUACUUACAGAGACUGCCCUGGUGAUAGCAUGGGGGAUGUUUCAGAGGAGUGGGAAGCUAGUUAGAAGGCCAUUUGGAAGAUCAGGUGAGAAACCAUGAUCUAAGUCUGUGGCAGUAAGAUUGGGAAAGAGAUGGGCAGCCCAGGUGGCUCAGCAAUUUAGCACCGCCUUCAGUCCAGGGCAUGACCCUGGAGAUCCAGACCGGGGAUCAAGUCCCACAUCAGGCUCCCUGCGAGGAGCCUGCUUCUUCCUCUGCCUGUGUCUUUGCCUCUCUUUCUCUCUGUGUCUCUCAUAAAUAAAUAAAAUCUUAAAAAAAAAAAAAAAGAAGAAG